GACGAACGCUGGCGGCGUGCUUAACACAUGCAAGUCGAACGGAAAGGCCCUGCUUUUGUGGGGUGCUCGAGUGGCGAACGGGUGAGUAACACGUGAGUAACCUGCCCUUGACUUUGGGAUAACCUCAGGAAACUGGGGCUAAUACCGGAUAGGAGCUCCUGCUGCAUGGUGGGGGUUGGAAAGUUUCGGCGGUUGGGGAUGGACUCGCGGCUUAUCAGCUUGUUGGUGGGGUAGUGGCUUACCAAGGCUUUGAGGGGUAGCCGGCCUGGGCGGGUGACCGGCCACAUUGGGACUGAGAUGCGGCACAGACUCCUACGGGAGGCAGCAGUGGGGAAUAUUGCACAAUGGGCGGAAGCCUGAUGCAGCAACGCCGCGUGCGGGAUGACGGCCUUCGGGUUGUAAACCGCUUUCGCCUGUGACGAAGCGUGAGUGACGGUAAUGGGUAAAGAAGCACCGGCUAACUACGUG
rnacentral:rRNA from 1 species